rnacentral:rRNA from 1 species
UUUCCAGACUCCUACGGGAGGCAGCAGUGGGGAAUAUUGCACAAUGGGGGAAACCCUGAUGCAGCGACGCCGCGUGAGUGAAGAAGUAUUUCGGUACGUAAAGCUCUAUCAGCAGGGAAGAAAAUGACGGUACCUGAUUAAGAAGCCCCGGCUAACUACGUGCCAGCAGCCGCGGUAAUACGUAGGGGGCAAGCGUUAUCCGGAUUCACUGGGUGUAAAGGGAGCGUAGACGGCGACGCAAGUCUGGAGUGAAAGCCCGGGGCCCAACCCCGGGACUGCUCUGGAAACUGCGUCGCUGGAGUACGGGAGGGGCAGGCGGAAUUCCUGGUGUAGCGGUGAAAUGCGUAGAUAUUAGGAGGAACACCAGUGGCGAAGGCGGCUUACUGGACGGUAACUGACGUUGAGGCUCGAAAGCGUGGGGAGCAAACAGGAUUAGAUACCCGUGUAUCC